rnacentral:misc_RNA from 1 species
GAAUAGUUUGAUACUUAUGAACUCUUUAUAAGUUCAUAUUGUCAGUUUAAUGACCACAGUGGUAGCUAUUCAUACAGUACAUAAACCUAAAUAAGUACGUACUAAUUAAUAUUGCGCUCAAUCUAAAGGGACGGAGAAAAAGAAAAAGAGUAAAGUGAAAAAUUGAAACCCUAGAGAAUAUAAAGAUGAACAAUAAAAACAUGUUGCACAAACUAGGAGGAAUAGGGUCACCUCAGAAUCAGGUCAAUUGGAAGAUUCAAGAAGAGUGUUUUUUUCUCUUGCGUAUAUUGCAGCCAGCUUCAGUGUCAAGAGGACGCAAGAUCCAACGAGAUGAUGGAAGGAAUAGCAGCUUUAGAU